rnacentral:lncRNA from 1 species
AUGUGGGCACUACAGAUGGGGGGCAUCCCACAGGCUACAAGGCCAUCAUGGAGACUGUAUGGAAUGGAGGAGGAUCAUGUCUGCUGCUGGAGGAAGUCCUCUCUUGGUUCAGUGAGUGAACCCAGCACCAGGAGCAGACUCUUGCAGCCUUGUUUUCACUCUGGUGAUACCAGCUAUUCAGGAAAAUUGGAAAAUGAGGGUUCAUUCAGGGUCAGACUCCAUUUGGGGGAAAUAUCAUUUGUCCUCAAGAGAUUCACCUAUUUCUCCAAACUUCAUAAAAGAUCUUGUGAACUUGCCAGAAGGUUGGAGAGAAGCAUAUGACAUGGCCAUUUUACUUAAAAAGGGGAAGAAAGUAAAUUCUGCAAACCACAGACCAGUGAACUAGACAUUGGGCCUGGGAAACAUUCAGGACAGAUGACUCAUGAAAAACAUCUAUGACCCCUCAGAAGAGGAAGCACCAGUGGCAAGGAUCAAGUCAUGCUGGGUUAACCAUGAGAUUUCAAGAUAUGAAAUCUAUACUGGUAAUUCGAGGAAAUAGGAUAGAACUAGUGUAUUUGGACCUGGGACGUAUAUUUACCACAGUGUAAAUGUGUAAGUGACAAAAGUCCAGGCAAACUGGUUUUUCAAAAAGAGGGAAUAUAGGGACUUCCCUGGUGGCCCAGUGGUUAAGGCUGAGCUUCCACUGCAGGGGGUGUGGGUUUCACUCCAGGUGGGGGAACUGGAGUCCUGCAUCCCUCAAGGCACAACCAAAAAAAAAAGUGGUAAUAACAGGAAUACAGUGGCUUACAUGACUGAAAAGUUCUGGGGUUGGCCCAGCAGGAUCCAGGGGCCAAGUGACAUCAUCAGAACUUGGUCUCUUCUCUCUUUCCUUGACUGCUUCCCUUUGAGGUGGGCUUCAUUCUCAGAUCAGGUUCUUUUUUUUUUUCAGGUUUUUUUCCUUAGUAUCCUUUUAUAUUUUUUUUGAGUAUCAUUGCUUUACAAUGCUAUGUUAGUUUCUGCUGCUGCACAACAAAAUGAAUCAGCCAUGUGUAUACACGUUUCUUCCUGUAGAGAGUGCUUCAGGAGUGGGAGGCUAUGAGCUCCUCUCCCAGUUGUAUGACCCUCAGCACGCUCCACAAGGGGCCAACCGUGACAUGUUCGUUCAUUCAUUUGCUGCGUAUUGCACUGUUGCAGGAAUGGGAGAGAAGGAGGAAUUUUUGAUAAUGUGCCGGGGAGGAAGACACACUGAAGGGCAGGAGAGGGCCAGCUUGGGAUUCCAGGGAACACAGAGCCCAAGGCACAGGCCUGCUGCCCCUGAGGGCUCUACCUGCAGCUGGAGGUGAGGUGACCCAGUGAAAAGGAAUACAGGAAUGUGUCACACAACUUUGGGUUGUUUAGACUUCCUGGGCCUUGUUCAACACCUUGGGUUGGAGAGCUCCAGCCUUCUGGCUUCCCUGAUCUGGCUGAUGCAUUCAACAUCACAAUCUCAGUGGAAAAAAUAAGAAACCACCCAACUCCCUUCUGAAGAAAUUUCUGAUUUUUCCACUGUACAGCCCUUGAAGUCUAUUUCUCUCCCACUGUUAAAGUACCAGCAUACAAAUCAUAAAUGUACAAGGCUGAAUUUUUACCAAGUGUGCACUCAUAGAACCAGCACCCAGCUCAAGAAAUGGACUACUACUAGGCCCCUAGCAUCCCUACUACCGUGGUAAUCACAGCCCUGCCCUGUCUUCCUAUACCAAAGGUCAGUUUUGCCCAAUUUUGAACUUUUAUUCAACAUCCUAUUUGUGAGACUUACUUGUGUGUAGUGUACACUUUCAUUCUGUAUUCUAUUUCACUGUAUGGGUAUACUACAUUCUAGCCCCAAACUGCAAACAACCCAAAUACCCAUGAAUGAUGCCGUACAGUGUACUGUGGGACCGUUCUAUCACAAGUCUUUCGAUCUUCAGCAGACACUCCUAACGGUCCUGUGGGGUGGUUUAACAAUCGCAUUCCUGCCCCCGGCAGUGAAGUGGAUGGAAGCCCCAGCUUCUCUGCGUGCUUACCAGCACUUGGUGUUUUUCAUGUUAGCCAUUCUAGUGGGUGUGUAAAUAGUAUUUCAUUGUGGUUGAAGUUUGCAUUUCCCUGAUGACUAAUGAAAAUGAGCAUUUUUUUCAUGUUUGGAUUUUCUUCUGUGAAGUACCUGUUCAAGUGUUUUGCCAAUUGUUCCACUGGGUUGUCUCAUUUACUUUAAAUUUUUAUGUAUUUUAAAAUGGAUACAUGGUUUACAAACCUAACAAGUUACAAACCUAUUCCUUGUACAUUUUCCCAGGGAUUGUAUAUACAAACGUAUAUAUGCCCCAGAUCGUCUUUUUCAAAUAGUUUUACACCGUAGUUAGUUGGUGAUGGACAGGGAAGCCUGGUGUGCUGCAGUCCAUGGGAUGGCUAAGAGUUGGACAUGACUGAGCAACUGACCUGAAUUGACACCACAGAGUUACUAUACCUCAAAUAUCACUGCACAGUAUUCCAUCCGUAUGUAUAACAUACUCUACUUAAUAUACUGACAGCAUAUAGGGCGAUGCAUUUUUAUGCUUCUACAAACAUUCUACUAUAAAUACUGGAGUACAGACAUCUUUGUGUGCAUGAGGGACUCUAUCUGGAGGAUAAAUUGCUGAGUUGGGUCAAAGCAUAAAUACAAUUAAAUUUUUGUGAUUCAUACUUCUAUCUUGCUCUGCAAAGAGCUGAAUAAAGUGCCACCAAUUUGGUCUUCCUGGCCAACGCACAGAAUCGCCAAACUUUAAUGUUCAUCAACUGACUAGGUGAAAAAUGGGAUCUCUUGAUACUCUUAAAUCUGGAUUCAUUCCUUUUACUUUGAAUGAGGCUGAGCAUCUUUUCAUGUGGUUGAACAGAGGCUCCACUUUAAAAGAACUAUUUCGUGGGAUGAAUGGUUAGCUGCACACCAGCUCCUGAUGGAUACAGAGAACUGAUCCUGGAGCUGAGAUGUCCUCAUUCCUGUGAGGACGUCCAAGGGUAGGUGCUUGGUUCCAUGGGCCUUAUGAAAUCAAGGAGAGACCCCCCAAAAAGUGUGUUGAACCACAGUCUCAAAAUAGGAAGAAACCUUAGAAAUCAAGUCUAAUCUUGUAUUUUUUUAGAGAUUAAAAAAAAGCUGAGGCUUAGAGAAGGGAAAUGCCUUGCAGAAGACCACAUACCAAGUCUGUUGAGAAAGAGAUGAAAAUCCUUGAUAAGAGUUGAAUUGUUUUUGUCAACUGCUGUCAUCCUGUUAGAUAUUUUAAUGAAUGAUUUCAUCAUGCUAUUUCCUUUAGCAACAGCGCAAUUUUCAAGUUACAGUAAACAAGCCCAUACAAGUGUGGGGGCUGAGGAGAAUUACAAGUCUUUUUUGUGAAAGACUUUGAAAUGGGUCACAAAAUUAUUGCGUGUCUUCAAUGGACAACUAGGUGUUGUCGUGCACACCCUUGGAUUAUCUGGGUCUAUGGAUCUUUUUCUUUGCUUUAAGCUAUUUCUAACUCUAUAGGUUUUUUAUUUAUUUGGCAGCCUCAGGUCUUAGCUGCAGGCCUAGGGAUCUUUCGUUGUGGUGAAGGGACUCAGUAGCUGUGGCACGUGCAGGCUUAAUUGCCUUCCAGCACACAGGAUCUUAGUUCCCAGGCCAGGGAUCGAACCCAUGUCCCCUGCACUGGAAAGUGGAUUCUUAACCACUGGACCAUGAGGGAAGUUCCAUUCUAUAGGUUUAAGUUUUAUUUAUUUAUUUAUUUAUUUAUUUGGCUGGACUGGGUAUUAGUUGUGGCACUUGGGAUCUUUAGUUGCUGUGUGUGGGAUCUAGUUCCCUGACCAGGGAUCAAACCUGGGCUUCCUGCACUGGAAGUGUGCAGUCCCAGCCACUGGAGCCAACGGGGGGGAGGGGGGUCCCAACUCUAUAGGUUCUGGAGAACAGACGGCAAGGCAAGUGAUUCUGUUACCAAGGCUGUUGCCCCAGAAUCUUGCCCUUGCCCUUCCUUCAAAUGUUUUUUUUCCUUUAAUUUACUUUUUAACUUUUUGGCUGUACCAUGUAGCAUGCGGGACCUUAGUCCCCGACUAGGGACCGAAUCUGUGCCUCCUGCAGUGAAAGCUCAGAGACCUAACCACUGGAACCACCACAGAACUCCAAAACCAAUUAUUCUUAUCUAAGGAAAUCCCGUGGACAGAGGAGUCUGGUGGGUUAUAGUCCAUGGGGUUGCAAAGAGUUGGACAUGACUGAGCGACUGAGCAGCCACAAGUUUCAGGAGGAAGAUGCAAAAAGACAAAGUAACAAGGACUGGUUAGAACAAACUAGGCCAAAGACUGGGGAAGAUCUGGCUUCCCGGGGACCUUGAGUCUCAUUAUCAGCUCACGGUAAUAUACUAGCACACGCUAAAUGACACACUCAUCAGCGCCAGAACAGUUGACAACUGCCAGGACAACAACUGAAAAAGCCCAUACAAGCACUGCAAAGGAGAGGUGCAACAGUUCCGGGUCCCAUGACACCCCUGUUCUCCACUAAGUCAUGAAUAUUCUUUCCACUCCUUGCAAUUCCUUCCUUUUAACCUUGACCUUCUAAUAUAUUUGGUGGCUCCACCAGAAUUGGGUUGAGAGCUGAUUUGCAAACGAGGUUCCCCCUUUCCAUUCUUUGGCCAUUGAAUAUAGCUUGUGUGAUUCCACUCUCAGCACCAGUUUCAGGAAAAAGACAAGAGGUCUCCAUGCAAGUCCAGUUGACCUGCUUGGUAACAAUUCCUGCCCACUGAUAUCUGACAUUUAAAUGAAGCUUGUCUGGCAGAAGUUCAACUGACUUCCCUACUGUCAGUUCAGUUCAGUUCAGUCGCUCAGUUGUGUCCGACUAUUCGCGACCCCAUGAAUCGCAGCACACCAGGCCUGCCUGUCCAUCACCAUCUC